AACCCUGACUACAUACCAGACCACCCUGGACCAGACUACUACAGAGGUCCUGGAUCAGCAGAAACAGUCAGAGAGGCUGGUCCAGGAGGUUCAGUCCAACCAGCGACUGAUGUCAGAACAGAAGAGUCACUUAGAGGAGCUCCGUGCAGCGCUGUCUGACUGUAACAGAGAGUUACAGCGUCUGAGAUCCCAGUGUUCUGAAAAGACGCUCCAGACCAACCGACUACAGACUGACUUACAGACGUCCCAGCAACACUGGGAGAGGGAGAGAGAAAGGGAGAAGCAGAGAGAAGGAGAAAGGGAGAAAACGAGGGAAGGAGAGCGGGAGAAGGAGAGAGAGAGGACCGUGGAGUUGCAGGCAGAAGUUCAGAGGAUCAGACAACUCAAUCAGAAAGAUU